UCACCCCCUACCCCCCCCCCCCCCCCCCCCCCCCCCCCCACUAGGGUGCUCUGCAUGUCUGUCUUGCAUCCCCCCCUCCCUCCCUCCCCCCCCCUCCUCCUGCCUCAUCCCUGCCUCUCCACUCUCUUUGGUGCUGAUGUGGCUUCUCCAGCUGUCACUUCUUGUUUUGAUUUGACGUCCAUGUGUGUGUGUGUGUGUGUGUGUGUUCGCAGCACACGCGGACCAAAAGAGGUCCGUCACCUUCACGGAGAAUCAAGGCUUGGCCAAGCCGCCGACUCCCAGCACGUCGGAGCCUCCGUGUGACGGCAGGAAGGCGAGCGACACCCCGUCCAAGUCCCCGACGCUGGAGGUUCCCCCGGCUUCUUCUUCUUCUUCUUCCUCGUCCACGGUGACUGCCGACCUGCACGGCCACGUGGGCACAAAGGCGCCUCCAGCCAUCACCAGCAAGGAGAAGAGGGAGCAGUGGGGGCUCCGCAGCAGCCUCUCCCCCCCGCCCUCCAUCUCCCGCCCCUCCACCCCGACCCCGCCGUCCAGAACCUGCUCGCCUCUGCCGCUGUCCCGCACCUCCUCGCCGCUGCCCCCUCCGCUCCCCGUGCUCUGCACGGCCCCGGCCCCCGGCCCCCCGCCCCCUCCGCCCCUCCCCCCGCCCCCGCCGGGGCCGUCCCGGAUCAGGGAGAGCCCCGGGGACGAGGACACCACGGCCCUCCUCCCCCGCGGCGACACGCUGCUGCGGCUCAGCGAGGACGACGGCACCGAGAACCCCCUCCUCACGCCGCUGCUGUCCCCGCCGUCGCCGCGGCGAUCCUCGCCACGCCAGUCCCCCCUCCCCCUGUCCCCGGUAGACCUGGACCUGGAUGAGUCUCACGUGUGAGAUGGGGACGAUUCGAGAUCAACCAGCAUCAGUUUCUCUCUCUUCCCCAGUCCUCCUCAGAUUAUCCACCUGAAUGUAGAUUAUCAGCUCCACACUUUGUUUAGACACUUUCUCCCACAUGGGGGCGCCAUAUUCAUUUCUGUUUAGCCCAGUUUCAUCUUCAACCAGCGCCAUUGUAACCAUUAAAUUUAAUCUUUGGGUGUCAAACAGAAGGCCCAUGAGAAAACGUGUUGUAAAAAUAUCAACAUUUUCAUCCUAUAUGUUUUGUGAACAAAGAAAACCUUUAACCCAGAGGUGUCAAACGCAUUUUAGUUUAGACCGAUUUCAUCUUGAGUGGGCCGGAUCAGGAAAAUAAAGUCAUAACUUUUAAAUUUAAACUUUAUUCAAGUUUAGAAAUGUCUAUACUUUCACAAAAAACAAAAAAACAAAACCAGGAACAGACGACAAUCUCAACAUAAAGCCAAUUUUAUUAAAACCUUCUGCUGUUGCAUUAUGGGUGUUUUAACAAACUCACACUGACAACAUGGCUUUGGGGGUAAUGCUAACAUCUCAGCUCGGGGUCUCAGUGUUGUGUUGCGCCCGCUACUCUGAAGACAUUUGUCACAACAUUUUGGCGGGCUGGAUCGGAGCUCCUUGCAGGCCCGUUUUGGCCCACGGGCCUUAUGUUUGACACCGGUACUCCAAUGUCGACGUCGUUUAAUACAUACACAAUGACAGCUCGACAGGUUAUAAACACAAAUUCCUAUCAAAUAGACUAAAGCCAUUCAUAAGGCAAAAAGGGAAUGACUUUUUAUUAAAUAUACAGAAUAUUAUGUGUAUUAUAGCUAUAAAUGUUGCAAUCAAACAUCUGUGAGAUGUUAUAUUUUAGCAGAUUACAUGUUUUCUGUCACUUAUGCAGCAAAAAGUGAAAGAAAUUGAAUUCAGAUGCAAAUUAAGGAAGAGAUUGUACUUGAUUUCAUGCAUAUAAUAUGUGGUUAUGUACAUAUCUCAAAGUCAC
rnacentral:lncRNA from 1 species